GGUUGUGGACUGAAAGCUGGUAAAACUGUGUUCGAGCCUUGCUUAUCUCAAAAUCAGAUCAAUGAGAAGAUGAUUGAACAGAAAGCACGAGCGGUUUGCCCUUACUUUUUGAACUCAAGGAAUGGAGAAACUGAAAUGAAAAAAGGCAGGUCUGUAGAAUGUGUGAAGAAAAGAAAUGAUAAAAAAUUACGAACCAAAGUUCGAGUGGUUUCCCCUUACUUUGCUAACUUAAAAGUGGGAGAAGAAAUAAAGGUAGGUAAGGAUAGUUCAAACGCUUCGAAGAACUGUCUCAAUGGAAGAAAGGUUUCUCCCUACUUUCAGAAUGCAUAUCGUGAAAAGAAGAAGAGUACAAUAGGUUCAAAAAGACAGAAACCUUGUCUCUCUGCUUCCCAGAAAAGAGACGAGGCAUAUUUAAGGAGGAGUGAAGAUAACAUGUGGGUACCUCCUCGAUCCCAUUUUAAUCUCCUCCAAGAAAACCAUGCUCAUGAUCCUUGGAGGGUGUUGGUUAUUUGCAUGCUUUUGAAUUGCACCACCGGUGUGCAGGUUAGGAGAGUGGUAGACGAGUUUUUCACUCUGUGUCCAAAUGCUGUGGCAGCAACAGAGGUUGCUGUAGAGGAUAUAGAAAAGUUGCUG
rnacentral:misc_RNA from 1 species